rnacentral:rRNA from 1 species
UGCAUAUCAAUAAGCGGAGGAAAAGAAACUAACAAGGAUUCCCCUAGUAACGGCGAGUGAAGCGGGAAAAGCUCAAAUUUGUAAUCUGGCGCCUUCGGCGUCCGAGUUGUAAUCUCGAGAAGUAUUUUCCGCGCUGGACCGCACAUAAGUCUGUUGGAAUACAGCGUCAUAGUGGUGAGAACCCCGUAUAUGGUGCGGAUGCCCAGUGCUUUGUGAUAUACUUUCGAAGAGUCGAGUUGUUUGGGAAUGCAGCUCAAAUUGGGUGGUAAAUUCCAUCUAAAGCUAAAUAUUGGCGAGAGACCGAUAGCGAACAAGUACCGUGAGGGAAAGAUGAAAAGCACUUUGGAAAGAGAGUUAACAGUACGUGAAAUUGUUGGAAGGGAAACGCUUGAAGUCAGACUUGCAUUUUGGAGUUCAGCCGCAAGGUGUAUUCUUCAAUUCGCAGGCCAGCAUCAGUUUUCGGGGGUGGAAAAUCGCGGUUUGAAGGUAGCAGUCUAGGCUGUGUUAUAGCUUUCCGCUGGAUUCACUUUUGGGGACUGAGGAACGCAGUACGCUUUUUGCAAGAUUCUAGAGUCUUUCGUACUUAGGAUGCUGGUGGAAUGGCUUUAAACGACCCGUCUUGAAACA